rnacentral:rRNA from 1 species
CCUACGGGAGGCAGCAGUAGGGAAUUUUCGUCAAUGGGCGCAAGCCUGAACGAGCAAUGCCGCGCGAACGAGGGAGGUCUUCGGAUCGUAAAGUUCUGUUGAAGGGGAAAAAGAGCGGAGAUAGGAAAUGGUCUCCGAUUGAUAUUACCCUUCGAGGAAGUCACGGCUAACUACGUGCCAGCAGCCGCGGUAAUACGUAGGUUGCGUGCGUUAUCCGGAAGGAUUGGGCGUAAAGGAUGCGUAGGCGGCCUGCUAAGUCUGGAGUGAAAGGAACCGGCUCAACCGGAACAGGCUCUGGAAACUGG